AGUUUUUUUAAAUUGAUAUUUCCUUUAUUGAAGUUUAUUCACAUUCAUUGGCUUCUUCCAUGACGUUUAGGCUCUCUAUAUUUGUACACAACUUAUUAGUACAUUAAAUUUAAGACAGUAUGGUUGUAGUUUACUCACAAAGUAGAAAUUGUUGUAACAGAGCAAGAUGUAUCCACAAUAUCAAUAAAAUAUCCCUGACAAAAAAACAAAACAAUCUCUGCUGAGGCAUACAAACAUUUUGUUCAUCAUCAAACAGUUCAACUGAACACACAUUAACCAAAGCAAACAGAACUAUCAAGAAUCUGCAUAUUUGUAGAAAAAAAACUUCAAAGUAUCAAUAAUGACCAUUUGUAACUAUUUUUUUCGAGAAUUCUUGCUACAGUGCGCGUACGAAGUGAACCAAUGGUGACUCAACAUAGAAAAUGUCAAUGCGUAGAAGAAAUCAGUUUUUUUUUGUGUGUGUGUGUGUAUGUAUGUACACUCCAUAGUCAGUUGCGAGUGAGUGAGCAGUCGGUGACACUAAAUUUAAGUGGCAUGCAUUUUAAACCUGAGUCUAUUCGCAAUGUCAGUGGCAUCGAGCAGGCUUGGCAGUCACGGGAAUGUGGCUUACAUGAAGCGCUAGCGACCCCUUGUGGAGGAAGCCGAGUCAUACACUUUAAAUCAUUAUCAAUUCCGGUAUCCUUUUUUUUUUUUGGUCGGUGAAAAGUAUUGUCAUUAAAUUAAAAGUUAAC